GACGAACGCUGGCGGCGUGCCUAAUACAUGCAAGUAGAACGCACAGUUUAUACCUUAGCUUGCUACACCAUAGACUGUGAGUUGCGAACGGGGGAGUAACGCGUAGGUAACCUGCCUGGUAGCGGGGGAUAACUAUGGGAAACGAUAGCUAAGACCGCAUAAUAUUGAUUAUGGCAUGGUAAUUAAUUGAAAGGUGCAAUUGCACCACGACCAGAUGGACCUGCGUUGUAUUAGCUAGUAGGCGAGGUAUCGGCUCACCUAGGCGACGAGACAUCGCCGCACUGCGUUGAUGAGCAGCCACCCUGGGACUGUGACCCGGCCCAGUCUCCUUCGGGUGCCAGCCAUACUCCUUCUUCGGCAAUCGACGAGAGUCUGACCGCACAACGCCGCGUCCGUGAAGAACGUCUUCGCAUCGUAAAGCUCUGUUUUCAGGGUAUAACCGGUGUGCGACUGGAACGUUCCCACUGUGACGGUAUCUGAUCAGAAAGCGACGGCUAACUACGUG
rnacentral:rRNA from 1 species